UAUGGGUUGUCAGAGCCUGAGCCUUGCACCAGGCCUGUUGAUGUUAUAAUGUCAAAUCUACUGAUACCGUGAGUGUAGUAGGAAGAGGACCCAAUGCUACGCUGAGGAGGCAUGACCUGAUGAUCUAGACCUGAUUCCUCCUCAACCCAGACAUGAACAGAGGACCAGCUUUACCACCUGAGUUACUGCUGGACACAAAAUGUGCAAAAAGGCCAGUAAAAGACUCUUUGUUGAGCCUCUUUGCUGGAAGAAGAGAGAAGUCCAGACCCAAAGAGGGACAGAGACACCGUGUGAAGUCAUGAUUCUGAGUGGACGUCCACAGAGCUUGAGUUGGUGACCCAUGUGAUCCAGUCCAGAGGACCAGAAAUGGUUCCACCGACGUGUGAAUCCUGGUUCCAGUCUGUCUCCUUUACAUCCGUCCACAUGACAGAAGGUGGAACCAGGAUUCACACGAUGUGUGAAAAAGGUGAUCAUGACUGAGAUGACACACAGCCGUCGGCCUGAAGGACAAGCAAGGUGGACCACAGACACCCAACUUCCUGUUGUACAUCCAAGGUUUCCAUGGCGAUGAAGAGCUCCCAGCCAGAUGACAGCAGCUGUUAAGAAAAGAGCAUGAAGUUAUGACUCUGAGUGGACAUCCACCAGACUCCAGCUGGAUAAAACGAGCUCCUGAUGGUGGACGUCAACACAUCCCAGGAAGCUUCAGCAGCACCGCCGUCCCCUGAACACACUCCUGCACCAAAC